rnacentral:rRNA from 1 species
UACGGGGGGGGCAAGCGUUGUUCGGAUUUACUGGGCGUAAAGAGCGCGCAGGCGGUCGUACAAGUCGCGUGUGAAAGCCCCUGGCUCAACUGGGGAGGGUCACGCGAUACUGUUCGACUUGAAGGCAGGAGAGGGAAGUGGAAUUCCCGGUGUAGUGGUGAAAUGCGUAGAUAUCGGGAGGAACACCAGUGGCGAAGGCGACUUCCUGGCCUGUUCUUGACGCUGAGGCGCGAAAGCUAGGGUAGCAAACGGGG